CCUCAUCCAAUCAGUUGAAGACUUGAAUAGAACAAAAGGCUGACCCUCUCCUGAGUAAGAGAAUAUUCUCCUUCCUGAUGGCUUUUUUUUUUCUCAAUCCUGGAGCCAAUCCAAGAUCAAUUGUUGCACUUAAUUUUUGUUUCUUUAGUCUGAUCUGGAACAGAUCUUCACCUCAGUGUUUCUUUUUUUUUUUUUUAGAGAUGGGGUCUUGCUGUGUUGCCCAGGGUGGAGUGCAGUGGCUAUUCACAGGUGUGAUCAUAGCUACUAUAGCCUCAAACCCUGGGUUCAAGUGAGUCCUUUGAACUAGAACAUUGGCCUUUUCUGGUUCUGCAGAAGCUUCCAGCCUUCAGAUUUGAACUGGGACACUGGCUCUGCAGAUUUUGGACUUGCCAGCCUUCAUAAUUGUAACCUACACUCCUGUCAUUUGUGGAAUGAUUGCUGGAGCCAGAGGCCAGGAAGAAGUUCAUGAGCCUGAGAGAAAAAGCAAGGAUUUCCAGUUCUACCCUGUGAGGAAAACAAGGCUUGGAGUGGGUAAGUUGCCAAGUUUGUAUGGCAGAGCCCAGCCCUGACUCCAGGGGAUGCUGUUCUCACCCCAUCU
rnacentral:lncRNA from 10 species